rnacentral:pre_miRNA from 1 species
CUCACAGCUCUGGUCCUUGGAGCUCCAGAGAAAAUGUUGCUCCGGGGCUGAGUUCUGUGCACC